UACGUAGGGUGCGAGCGUUUAAUCGGAAUUACUGGGCGUAAAGCGUGCGCAGGCGGUUUUGUAAGCCAGAUGUGAAAUCCCCGGGCUUAACCUGGGAAUGGCAUUUGGGACUGCAAGGCUGGAGUGUGGCAGAGGAGACGUGAAUUCCUGGUGUAGCAGUGAAAUGCGUAGAUAUCAGGAGGAAUACCGAUGGCGAAGGCAGGUCUCUGGGCUGACACUGACGCUCAUGCACGAAAGCGUGGGGAGCAACAGG
rnacentral:rRNA from 1 species